UGCAACCUUUCCAGCAGAGGAGGAAUCUGACACGCUGCACCGCGUUAUGGUAUCCUAGCAUGCAACAUAAUAGAAGAUGCUGAUAGUUGAAGGACGGGCUCAUCAGCCACAUGGUCCCAGAGAGGGGGAUAAGGGAGAAGAGGAGGCCAGGAUGGGCCAGAGGAGGGUGGAUGAGACAAAAGGAGAAGAGAGGUGGAACCUGAGCACAUGCACAGGAAUAACUCCGGAGCUUCCAGGCCCCCUGCCCAGCCUGUGAGCGCUCUCGCUCACAUGCUGAGGAAGGCUGCUUCAUACAUGACCUGUGCCAUUCCACAUCACCUCCCUCCUGGAAUGCCACCCCCUCGCCACACUGGCAGUCGUGAGACACUCCGGGAAAGAGUUCACUCAAGGCGUCGUGUUCAGCACGGAGCAGCAGCCUGACCAGCACUGAGCUGGUCACUCUCAGCUGAUCUUUGGUGUCAUGGGGAC